rnacentral:rRNA from 1 species
CUAAGCGUACACGGUGGAUGCCCUGGCAGUCAGAGGCGAUGAAGGACGUGCUAAUCUGCGAUAAGCGCCGGUAAGGUGAUAUGAACCGUUAUAACCGGCGAUUUCCGAAUGGGGAAACCCAGUGUGAUUCGUCACACUAUCAUUAACUGAAUCCAUAGGUUAAUGAGGCGAACCGGGGAAACUGAAACAUCUAAGUACCCCGAGGAAAAGAAAUCAACCGAGAUUCCCCCA